rnacentral:lncRNA from 1 species
GAAUAUUUGGAGUAAUGGAAAUCUUAUGGUGUGAAACCUUUUGAAGAGUUAAUGGACUUUUGCUUCAGGAAGGAAAAUAAGCACUUGUCAACUUAGCUCGGAUCAAGCAUUUCAAGGGUAAUGUUCAUAGAAUGUUUGGUGAGAAAAAAAAAAAAGGAAACAACAGAACAGAAUAGUUCUUACAAAAACUAUCUCCCUACAACAAGAAAUAAACACAAUAAAUUGCACUAUAAAGUAAGUUAGAGGUAUACAUAAGAUGCAUGCAAUGCAAUUUUAGUCCUCAACACUGUCUCUUUGCUUUUCACUAAUAAAAUAAGCUUGAUUAUUGAAAGCACUCACCCUUUGAUUUUUAAACAUUGUGUUCAGAGAGAAGAUCAUGCUACAGAAGUACCAAAAUACG